GCGGUGAAUACGUUCCCGGACCUUGUACACACCGCCCGUCAAGCCAUGGAAGCUGGGUGUACCUAAAGUCGGUAACCGCAAGGAGCCGCCUAGGGUAAAACUAGUAACUGGGGCU
rnacentral:rRNA from 1 species